rnacentral:ncRNA from 1 species
UGAAAAAGCCAAACUUGUUGUGAAGCAAGGACGGAAAGCUAUGGGUCUUUGAAAAAAAGAUUGCCAGGUUGCCA